rnacentral:rRNA from 1 species
UACGAAGGUGUCAAACGUUGUCCGGAAUAACUGGGCGUAAAGGGCGCGUAGGCGGUCGCGUAAGUCAGAUGUGAAAGCUCUGGGCUCAACCCAGGAAUUGCAUUUGAUACUGCGUGACUUGAGUUCGGUAGAGGAGGGCGGAAUUCCAGGUGUAGCGGUGAAAUGCGUAGAUAUCUGGAGGAACACCCGUGGCGAAGGCGGCUCUCUGGUCCGAUACUGACGCUGAGGCGCGAAAGGUAGGGUAGCAAACAGG